UGGGGAAAUAGAAAGUGACCUGGACAGUCAGCUGUCACUUUCUUUUCACUCGCUACUUGACUUCCCCAAUGUGGUUCCUAGUUUUGGGGUCUAUCUCCUCCCUCCUCAUGUGCCAAACUAGGAGAUGUCCUUGUUCUUAGAAAUGGCAUGGGAAGGUUUCCCUGCUGGUAGUUAAUCUUUCCCAUGUGCCCAUCUGAGGUAAGUGUGGUGUGCCUCUGUUACUUACUGACCAGCCGUGCCCCCAAGUCACCAACCACUUCAGGACAUGCUGAGCCUCCCUAAAGAGUUAGGCCUGGACAUGUCACCAUUUGGCUAUGAGGAGAGCCAAGGAAAAGUCAGACUCUCACCCCUUCUGGAAGUAUCUUCUUUUUCUUUCAUGGUCUCUCUCGUGGGGAAUUUCCUCUCACCGCCAACACUGUAGAAAUCACUUAAUGUCCUGACGUGAGCUUAAAUCUCUCCCCCUACUAUCCUCCACUCCACCGUGACACUCUGAUCCUACAAUCCUUCCCACCACACAUUCUGUUUGUGUGCUCCCAAACACAUGAUUCCCAGACACCUCACACCAACGGCACCAUGGUUAAUGAAUGAUUCAAGAAGCCUCUAAAAGGGAAAGGUACAUUUCCUCCAACUGUGUUCUCUGAAACUCACUCUGUAGCAGGGGAGGGACAUGGUAACAAGGCUAACAGGCAACACUGAUGAUAGAAACCCCAGGUCUAAUAUGGAGUAGACGUCAGUUUCUACAGUAUCAGGACAUCCUAGUGGCUCAGAGAUGCUGCAAGCAGUGAAGUUCAGGAGAUGGCGUACGGAAAGUACAAUUCCACGCGCAGGUUCAGAGGAAGACCGCUAUCGGGCACACCUGAAGCAGCCCGAAGCUCUGGCCUGCCCCUCGGCCCGGGUAGGGUAGCAGCAAAGGCCUGAGCGCCGCAAAUCCCCCACUGUGUAAAUCUGAAUAAAUCCUGGGUCGAGCGCGUCA